rnacentral:rRNA from 1 species
UGCAUCACGGGGCGCAGCAGUGGGGAAUAUUGCACAAUGGGGGAAACCCUGAUGCAGCAACGCCGCGUGAAGGAAGACGGUUUUCGGAUUGUAAACUUCUGUUCUUAGUGAAGAAAAAUGACGGUAGCUCAGGAGCAAGCCACGGCUAACUACGUGCCAGCAGCCGCGGUAAUACGUAGGUGGCAAGCGUUGUCCGGAAUUACUGGGUGUAAAGGGAGCACAGGCGGGAAGCCAAGUCAGCUGUGAAAACUACGGGCUUAACUUGUAGACUGCAGUUGAAAAUGGUUUUCUUGAGUGAAGUAGAG